rnacentral:rRNA from 1 species
UACGUAGGGUGCGAGCGUUGUCCGGAAUUAUUGGGCGUAAAGAGCUCGUAGGCGGUCUGUCGCGUCUGCUGUGAAAUCCCGAGGCUCAACCUCGGGCCUGCAGUGGGUACGGGCAGACUAGAGUGCGGUAGGGGAGAUUGGAAUUCCUGGUGUAGCGGUGGAAUGCGCAGAUAUCAGGAGGAACACCAAUGGCGAAGGCAGAUCUCUGGGCCGUAACUGACGCUGAGGAGCGAAAGCAUGGGGAGCGAACAGG